AUUGAGACAUAUAAAAAAAAGACAACUCUGUUCCGCAGAGUAGCUGUUGACAUUAUAGUUGCGCAGGCACUUUGUUGACUCUAGAGAACCUUGGGGUAAUCGAACAUCCCCGUGACGGCGACUUUGCUUUUGGAUGUCAUCCAUAUCAACUUUCAAUGCCAGUUUCUGCGCCUACCAUGGUGACCACGGGUAACGGGGAAUCAAGGUUACAUUCCGUACAGGGACCCUGACAAACGGCUACCACAUGCAAUGAAGGCAGCAGGCA